rnacentral:pre_miRNA from 1 species
UCUUAUGGAUGAGCAAAGGAAGUGGUUUCUUGAAAUGAAAUCUACUCCUGAUGAAGAGGCUGUGAA